rnacentral:rRNA from 1 species
GACGAACCGUCCAAACGUUAUUCGGAAUCACUGGGCUUAAAGGGCGCGUAGGCGGCCGAGCGGGUCGUGGGUGAAAUCCCCCAGCUUAACUGGGGAACUGCUUACGAUACCACUGCGGCUCGAGGAAGGAAGGGGCAAUUGGAACUGUCGGUGGAGCGGUGAAAUGCGUUGAUAUCGACAGGAACGCCGGUGGCGAAAGCGAAUUGCUGGUCCUUUUCUGACGCUGAGGCGCGAAAGCCAGGGGAGCAAACGGG